GAUGAACGCUGGCGGUCUGCUUGACACAUGCAAGUCGAACGGAAUCCUUCGGGCUUUAAUGGCGGCCGGGUGAGUAACGCGUGAGAAUCUGCCUCAAGGUUCGGGACACCAUCUGGGAACGCCUGCUAAUAGCGGAUGUGCCGACGGAUGAACGCUUUAGUGACUGAAGAUGAGCUCGUGUCUGAUGAGCUAGUAGGAGUGGUAAAGGCGCCCCUAGGUGACGCUCAGUAGCUGGUCUGAGAGGAGGAUCAUACACACUGGGACUGAGACACCGCCAAGAAUCAUACGGGGGGAAGGAGUGGGGAAUUUUCCGAAAUGGGCGCAAGCCUGAAGGAGCAAGACCGCGUGAGGGAAGAAGGUCUGUGGAUUGUAAACCUCUUUUGAUGGGGAGGGAGACAGUGACGGUACCCAUCGAAUCAGCAUCGGCUAACUCCGUGCCAGCCGCCGCCGUAA
rnacentral:rRNA from 1 species